rnacentral:rRNA from 1 species
UACGUAGGGGGCUAGCGUUGUCCGGAAUCAUUGGGCGUAAAGCGCGCGUAGGCGGCCCGGUAAGUCCGCUGUGAAAGUCAAAGGCUCAACCUUUGAAUGUCAGCGGAUACUGCCGGGCUAGAGUCCGGAAGAGGCGAGUGGAAUUCCUGGUGUAGCGGUGGAAUGCGCAGAUAUCAGGAGGAACACCAACGGCGAAGGCAGCUCGCUGGGACGGUACUGACGCUGAGGAACGAAAGCCAGGGGAGCGAACGGG